GACGAACGCUGGUGGCGUGGAUUAGGCAUGCAAGUCGAACGGUAUCAUCCUUUCGGGGGUGAGAGAGUGGCGAACUGGUGAGUAACACGUAGGUUAUCUACCCUCAAGACGGGGACAACCCAGGGAAACUUGGGCUAAUACCGGAUGUGAGCAACUUUUUAGUUGUUUGAAAGGUGGCGUAAGCUGUCGCUUGGGGAUGAGCCUGCGUCCUAUUAGUUAGUUGGUGAGGUAACGGCUCACCUAGGCAAUGAUAGGUAGGCGGCCUUAACGGGUGGUCGCCCACACUGGGAUUGAGAUACGGCCCAGACUCCUACGGGAGGCAGCAGUCGAGAAUAGUCUACAAUGGUCGGAAGACUGAUAGUGCGACGCCGCGUGAACGAUGAAUCCCUUCGGGGUGUAAAGUUCUUUUAUAUGUGAGCAGUGCUUCUUAUAUUAACAGUAUGGGGAAGAGAUAUUAGCAUAUGAAUAAGCAACGGCUAACUCCGUGCCAGCAGCCGACGGUAAACU
rnacentral:rRNA from 1 species